rnacentral:rRNA from 1 species
GUGCCAGCCGCCGCGGUAACACCCGCAGCUCUAGUGGUGGUCACUUUUAUUGAGCCUAAAGCGUUCGUAGCCGGUUCUGUAAAUCUUCAGAUAAAUUCAUUCGCUCAACGGAUGAUCUUCUGAAGAGACUGUAGAACUUGGGACCGGGUGAGGUUGAAUGUACUUCCGGGGUAGGGGUAAAAUCCUGUAAUCCUGGAAGGACAACCGGUGGCGAAGGCGUUCAACUAGAACGGAUCCGACGGUGAGGAACGAGGGCUAGGGGAGCAAACCGGAUUAGAUACCCGGGUAGUCCUAGCUGUAAACACUGCCCACUUGGUGUUGCCUCUCUGUUGAAGGGGGGCAGUGCCGGAGCGAAGGUGUUAAGUGGGCCGCUUGGGGAGUAUGGUCGCAAGGCUGAAACUUAAAGGAAUUGGCGGGGGAGCACCGCAACGGGAGGAGCGUGCGGUUUAAUUGGAUUCAACGCCGGAAAACUCACCGGGAGCGACCUUUGGAUGAGAGUCAACCUGAUGAGUUUACUCGAUAGAAGGAGAGGUGGUGCAUGGCCGUCGUCAGCUCGUACCGUAGGGCGUUCACUUAAGUGUGAUAACGAGCGAGACCCCCAUCUCUAAUUGCAAGUAUGUCUUUGCGGACAUGCGCACUUUAGAGGGACCGCCAGCGCUAAGCUGGAGGAAGGAGGGGUCGACGGCAGGUCAGUACGCCCCGAAUCUCCCGGGCUACACGCGCGCUACAAAGGACAGGACAAUGAGUUGCAACCUCGAAAGGGGGAGCUAACCUCGAAACCUGUUCAUAGUUAGGAUUGAGGGCUGUAACUCGCCCUCAUGAAUGUGGAUUCCGUAGUAAUCGCGGGUCAACAGCCCGCGGUGAAUAUGCCCCUGCUCCUUGCACACACCGCCCGUCAAACCAUCCGAGCUGGUGUUGGAUGAGGGUAUGCCCGAGAGGACAACUCGAAUCUGAUGUCAGUGAGGAGGGUUAAGUCGUAACAAGGUAACC